rnacentral:rRNA from 1 species
GAUGAACGCUGGCGGCGUGCCUAAUACAUGCAAGUCGAGCGAACUGAUUAGAAGCUUGCUUCUAUGACGUUAGCGGCGGACGGGUGAGUAACACGUGGGCAACCUGCCUGUAAGACUGGGAUAACUUCGGGAAACCGAAGCUAAUACCGGAUAGGGUCUUCUCCCUCAUGGGAGAUGAUUGAAAGAUGGUUUCGGCUAUCACUUACAGUUGGGCCCGCGGUGCAUUAGCUAGUUGGUGUGGUAACGGCUCACCAAGGCAACGAUGCAUAGCCGACCUGAGAGGGUGAUCGGCCACACUGGGACGGAGACACGGCCCAGACUCCGACGGGAGGCAGCAGUAGGGAAUCUUCCGCAAUGGGCGAAAGUCUGACGGAGCAACGCCGCGUGGGUGAUGAAGGCUUUCGGGUCGUAACACUCUGUUGUUAGGGAAGAACAAGUACGAGAGUAACUGCUCGUACCUUGACGGUACCUAACCAGAAAGCCACGGCUAACUACGUGCCAGCCGCCGCCGUAAGAC